CUCUUUUUGGGCGACAACAAUAGUGAAAAUUACGCCUGUUGCUUUCUGCAAUAGCAGUGUUUUGAGUUUUAUUAUUGCUUGGCUAUAGAGCCAGCUUUGUUAUGAGUUUUCCUUGUAGAUUCCUUGAAUCUAUAGGUUUUUAUUUAGGAUAUUAUUAGGAAUUUCCAGUUUAUGCUUUGUUAGACAUCUUUUAACUUUGGUUGAAUUACGUAUACAAGUUUAAUU
rnacentral:misc_RNA from 1 species